rnacentral:rRNA from 1 species
AUUGAACGCUGGCGGCAGGCCUAACACAUGCAAGUCGAGCGGAUGAAGGGAGCUUGCCUCUGGAUUCAGCGGCGGACGGGUGAGUAAUGCCUAGGAAUCUGCCUGGUAGUGGGGGAUAACGUCCGGAAACGGGCGCUAAUACCGCAUACGUCCUGAGGGAGAAAGUGGGGGAUCUUGGGACUUCUCGCUAUCAGUUGAGCCUAUGUCGGAUUAGCUAGUUGGUGGGGGAAAGGCCUACCACGGCGACGAUCCGUAACUGGUCUGAGAGGAUGAUCAGCCACAAUGGAACUGAGACACGGUCAAUACUCCUACGGGAGGCAGCAGUGGGCAAUAUUGGACAAUAGGCGAGAGCCUGAUCCAGCCAUGCCGAGUCUGUGAAGACGGUCUUCGGAUUGUAAAGCACUUCAAGUUGGGAGGAAGGGCAGUAGGUUGAUACCUAGCUGUUUUGACGUUACCAACAGAAUAAGCACCGGCUAACUUCGUG